UCCUCGUUUAAGCGAGGCAGUCUGUCCAGAGUGCUUCCCUCUCUCGAGGGAGUGGCAACAGGACACAAGGGUUGCGCUCGUUGCGGGACUUAACCCAACAUCUCACGACACGAGCUGACGACAGCCAUGCAGCACCUGUGCAUGCUCCCCUUGCGGGGUCGUCCCGCUUUCACGGUUCUACCACAUGCAUGUCAAGGCCAGGUAAGGUUCUUCGCGUUGCAUCGAAUUAAGCCACAUACUCCACCGCUUGUGCAGGCCCCCGUCAAUUUCUUUGAGUUUUAACCUUGCGGCCGUACUCCCCAGGCGGAUGACUUAAUGCGUUAGCUGCGCCACCGAAAGCCUAAGGCCCCCGACACCUAGUGCCCAUCGUUUACAGCGUGGACUAC
rnacentral:misc_RNA from 1 species